GUAAAAAUAAGAAAUUAUCGAAUUGAUUUGCUCAGGCAAAAUCUGCUGGUGCAGAAA
rnacentral:sRNA from 12 species